rnacentral:rRNA from 1 species
AACGAACGCUGGCGGCGUGUUUAAGACAUGCAAGUCGCACGGGAUAAGACAUGUAGUAAUACUCGUUUUAUUUAGUGGCGCACGGGUGAGUAACACGUGAAUUACAUGCCCUAUAGUGGGGAAUAGCCCAGGGAAACUUGGAUUAAUACCCCAUGGUAUCGAAAGAUUAAAGGUGGCCGCAAGGCUGUCGCUAUAGGAUGGUUCGCGCCCUAUCAGCUUGUUGGUGAGGUAACGGCUCACCAAGGCAAUGACGGGUACCUGGUCUGAGAGGACGAUCAGGCACACUGGAACUGAGACACGGUCCAGACACCUACGGAUGGCAGCAGUCGAGAAUAAUUCACAAUGGGGGCAACCCUGAUGGUGCAACGCCGCGUGGAGGAUGACGGUCUUCGGAUUGUAAACUCCUGUCAUCUGGGAGAAAGACCUGACGGUAAAUAGCCGGCAGGGUUGAUAGUACCAGAAGAGGAAGGGACGGCUAACUUCGUGCCAGCAGCCGCCGCGG